rnacentral:misc_RNA from 1 species
UCUUUACAUUCUUCUUCGCCUAGCACUUUGCAUCUACUACGAAACGAAUCGAAGGAUAGAGAACUUAAAUAAGUAUUUCGUGGCAACUGGAAACAUUUAUCGUGAUUAUGAAUUUGACUUCGGUGAUGAGACAUUCGUUAAAAAGGCCAAAUUAAAGACAUUGACGCUCCUUAUAGUUCUGUGGACUACAAAGAAAAUCAAACUAAUGACAUUGGAAAUCUUGGAAAUCGAAAGGCCAUUUGUAUUGUCAUUUUGUUUCAGGAUUUGGAAGAACCACUGAAGGAUAAUGCAGUUUUUUUCUGCAAUCAGUAUCAUUGCCCUAUGUUCCUCGUGAUCAAUGCAAAUCUUCAAAAAACCGUGUUGAAGCUACAAAGUUUAUAGCGAUGGAUAAAUUUUGUGCUAGCUAAACGAAUGGCUUCUAACGAAUCAAAAUUAAUAAAGGAAAAUGAACAUAUUCAAAUGCUUUACCUUGCAAUUAUUAUUUGUAUUGCAGGAACAUCUGUCUGUAAUGAGGAUAGCGGUGGAGUAUUGGUUUUCGAGACUAGAAAUUUAUGGUUUCUAAGAUGUGUUGUUAGUUUGUCUCUUAGUGAAAAUAUAAU